rnacentral:rRNA from 1 species
UAGGGAAUCUUCGGCAAUGGGGGCGAACCCUGACCGAGCAACGCCGCGUGAGUGAAGAAGGUUUUCGGAUCGUAAAGCUCUGUUGUAAGAGAAGAGCGUGUGUGAGAGUGGAAAGUUCACACAGUGACGGUAACUUACCAGAAAGGGACGGCUAACUACGUGCCCG